GGGGGGGGAUCGAGCAGAGGGAAAAGGAGCAAUCCGCUUUGAGAUGGCCUCGCGUCCGAUUAGCUAGUUGGUGAGGUAAUGGCCCACCAAGGCGACGAUCGGUAGCCGGACUGAGAGGUUGAACGGCCACAUUGGGACUGAGACACGGCCCAGACUCCUACGGGAGGCAGCAGUGGGGAAUAUUGCACAAUGGGGGAAACCCUGAUGCAGCGACGCCGCGUGGAGGAAGAAGGUCUUCGGAUUGUAAACUCCUGUUGUUGAGGAAGAUAAUGACGGUACUCAACAAGGAAGUGACGGCUAACUACGUGCCAGCAGCCGCGGUAAAACGUAGGUCACAAGCGUUGUCCGGAAUUACUGGGUGUAAAGGGAGCGCAGGCGGGCGAUCAAGUUGGAAGUGAAAUCCAUGGGCUCAACCCAUGAACUGCUUUCAAAACUGAUUGUCUUGAGUAGUGCAGAGGUAGGCGGAAUUCCCGGUGUAGCGGUGGAAUGCGUAGAUAUCGGGAGGAACACCAGUGGCGAAGGCGGCCUACUGGGCACCAACUGACGCUGAGGCUCGAAAGUGUGGGUAGCAAACAGGAUUAGAUACCCUGGUAGUCCACACCAUAAACGAUGAUUACUAGGUGUUGGAGGAUUGACCCCUACAGUGCCGCAGUUAACACAAUAAGUAAUCCACCUGGGGAGUACGACCGCAAGGUUGCAACU
rnacentral:rRNA from 1 species